rnacentral:rRNA from 1 species
AUUGAACGCUGGCGGCAUGCUUUACACAUGCCAGUCGAACGGCAGCGCGGGCUUCGGCCUGGCGGCGAGUGGCGAACGGGUGAGUAAUGCAUCGGAACGUGCCCAGUAGUGGGGGAUAGCCCGGCGAAAGCCGGAUUAAUACCGCAUACGACCUGAGGGUGAAAGCGGGGGACCGAAAGGCCUCGCGCUAUUGGAGCGGCCGAUGUCGGAUUAGCUAGUUGGUGGGGUAAAGGCUUACCAAGGCGACGAUCCGUAGCUGGUCUGAGAGGACGACCAGCCACACUGGGACUGAGACACGGCCCAGACUCCUACGGGAGGCAGCAGUGGGGAAUUUUGGACAAUGGGGGCAACCCUGAUCCAGCCAUGCCGCGUGCGGGAAGAAGGCCUUCGGGUUGUAAACCGCUUUUGUUCGGGAAGAAAUCCUCUGGGCUAAAACCCCGGGGGGAUGACGGUACCGGAAGAAUAAGCACCGGCUAACUACGUG